GGCAGCUUCAUUAGCCACUGUGACAUUUAUCUGAUCCACCGCCGCGUCUCCAUGGCAACCCUCAGAUGCAAACACGGCAACGCGUACCGCCGAAAUCACAUGGCCUCACGUGGACCCAGACCCACAGACCCAGGUCCUCCAGCAGGGACCAGUCCACCAUAAACAGACCCAGGUCCUCCAGCAGGGACCAGCCCACCAUAAACAGACCCAGGUCCCCUGGCAGGGACCAGUCCACCAUAAACAGACCCAGGUCCUCCGGCAGGGACCAGUCCACCGUGGACAGAUCCAGGUCCUCCAGCAGAGACCAGUUCACCAUAAACAGACCCAGGUCCUCCAGCAGGGACCGGUCCACCAUAAACAGACCCCGAUCUGUUAGAAUUUUAGAACAACAACAGAUUUCUAUUAAACAACAACAUAUGAUAUGAAUGUUUUGCAUCAAUUUGUGUGUGAUAACAUCUCACCACAUGUGCGUGUGUCACGGUGUGUGUUUGGUUAGCUGACCUUGGC
ensembl:lncRNA